CAGGGAAUGGAAUAAAGUCUGUCAGGAAGAGAUUCCCACUUGCGUCUCCCACUUGCGUCAGAGAUCAGAAGAGACUCCCAAAGGCUAACAAGAAUAAGGAUCACACAGCCAGACCAGUCAUUCUGAGCCCACCUGAUAAAGACCAACAUUUCAGCUCUGCUAUGCACUACCUGUGUCUCUCUUGAUGAAAGAACUGAAGCCUAGAGACACUAAUGAAUCGCCAGAGUCCCAGAGCUGGGUGAUGACAAGGCUGGAAGACCACCUUCUCGCAGAGGGCACCUGUGAGAACUCAUUUCAGGCUGCCACAGAGCCACUACAAACCAACAGCAAUUUUUGUAUUGCUUUAUUUAAGUUUCAGGUUUAUUCUAACCAAGCAGAGUUAUCCC